GCGGCAUCAAUAUGGUGACCUCCCGGGAGCGGGGGACCACCAGGUUGCCUAAGGAGGGGUGAACCGGCCCAGGUCGGAAACGGAGCAGGUCAAAACUCCCGUGCUGUA
rnacentral:SRP_RNA from 1 species